AGGAACAGAAAAGAAAGAAGAAAAUAGAAAGGGAAAAGGAGGUUGUCUUCCUCCUCCCGUUCAGAGAUCAUCUGUAUUUCCCGUGAUCUUGCUCACGUGCCGGUUCGAUCUCGCCGGCGGCUACGGGUUGUUACACCUCCUCACGCAAACUGAACGGUCCAGCCGCAGAAGAGAUGGGAUCCAGAGCCGGGCUUGGUUAGGCUUGGAAGACCCGGACCCGUUUAGGACCCGGUG
rnacentral:lncRNA from 1 species